UUUGCAAGGAGCAAGCUGGAUAUUGAGAGAGGAGGAGAGAAAAAGGAGAGAUUCCGGAGGAGCCUGAGGGAGAGUUUUUCUGGGAGCUUGAGGAGAGCUCAGAGGGAAAACUAGGAGGAGUUUUGGCUAAGAUAUCCAGAGAGAACAGAGAGCUUGAGGGGGAAGAAAAGCGAGGUUGUACAUCCCUAUUUGAGAGAGCCAGGUGGUGAUAGCACAGAUCAUAGCUCGUGAGUGUUGAGGAUGAACAAAACUCCUCCAGAUGAUCUGGGUUGCGCAAAGAUCUUAGAUGGAAAA